CAGGCAUCCUGCCCCACAGCCAUGUAAAUUUUCUUACAUACAAAUGUUCAUUGCUAUCUUUUACAUUCCUCUGCUGACAGUGAAGAGGUCGUGCUAAAUCAAACUGAUGGAGAAACUGGACAUCAUCUUUACCCUGAAUGCCCAGAUUAAUUCUACCCGAACAGAGGGCAGAACUCAGACAAGCAUCUUAAUGCAAACAUCGCAGUAACUGAAAUGUGAAGCUGAAAAUCCAGAGAAUUCUCCAAAAGCUUUAAGUACCUUUUUAGGCUUCAUU
rnacentral:lncRNA from 1 species